rnacentral:misc_RNA from 1 species
GAUGAAGAACGUAGCGAAAUGCGAUAAGUAAUGUGAAUUGCAGAAUUCAGUGAAUCAUCGAAUCUUUGAACGCACAUUGCGCCCGCCAGUAUUCUGGCGGGCAUGCCUGUCUGAGCGUCAUUUCAACCCUCAUGCCCCUAGGGCGUGGUGUUGGGGAUCGGCCAAAGCCCGCGAGGGACGGCCGGCCCCUAAAUCUAGUGGCGGACCCGUCGUGGGCUCCUCUGCGAAGUAGUGAUAUUCCGCAUCGGAGAGCGAUGAGCCCCUGCCGUUAAACCCCCAACUUUCCAAGGUUGACCUCAGAUCAGGUAGGAAUACCCGCUGAACUUAAGCAUAUCAAUAAGCGGAGGA